GAUGAACGCUGGCGGCGUGCCUAAUACAUGCAAGUCGAGCGAACAGAUAAGGAGCUUGCUCCUUUGACGUUAGCGGCGGACGGGUGAGUAACACGUGGGUAACCUACUUAUAAGACUGGAAUAACUCCGGGAAACCGGGGCUAAUGCCGGAUAACAUUUAGAACCGCAUGGUUCUAAAGUGAAAGAUGGUUUUGCUAUCACUUAUAGAUGGACCCGCGCCGUAUUAGCUAGUUGGUAAGGUAACGGCUUACCAAGGCAACGAUACGUAGCCGACCUGAGAGGGUGAUCGGCCACACUGGAACUGAGACACGGUCCAGACUCCUACGGGAGGCAGCAGUAGGGAAUCUUCCGCAAUGGGCGAAAGCCUGACGGAGCAACGCCGCGUGAGUGAUGAAGGUCUUCGGAUCGUAAAACUCUGUUAUUAGGGAAGAACAAAUGUGUAAGUAACUGUGCACGUCUUGACGGUACCUAAUCAGAAAGCAACGGCUAACUACGUG
rnacentral:rRNA from 1 species